rnacentral:tRNA from 1 species
GGGGUUGUGGCUCAAGUGGCAGAGCGCUCACUUAGCACAAGUGGGGCACUGAGUUCGAUUCUCAGCACCACA